UACGGAGGGAGCUAGCGUUGUUCGGAAUUACUGGGCGUAAAGCGCGCGCAGGCGGUCUUCCAAGUCAAGUGGUGGAAAGCCCUGGAGCUCAACUCCAGAACUGCCCAUUGAAACUGUUAGACUUGAGUACGAGAGAGGUGAGUGGAAUUCCCAGUGUAGAGGUGAAAUUCGUAGAUAUUGGGAAGAACACCAGUGGCGAAGGCGGCUCACUGGCUCGUAACUGACGCUCAGGCGCGACAGCGUGGGGAUCGAAACGGGAAUUGAG
rnacentral:rRNA from 1 species